AUGCAUUGUUGGUUGAAAUUGAAUGUGCACCCCAAGUGGCUCAAUGUCAUUACCAAUUCCGUCAAGACCGCCUCCAUAGCCAAUGUAGAUGAAGAUGGUGAUCCAACAAAAGGAGACCUUGCUCCGGCCAUAAGGAUGACUAGGAACCAAGGGGGGAAGUGGGAGGAGGAGAAGGAUAAGCAAGGGGCGACCGCCAAGAUGAUGGAGAGGUACGAGGACAUCAUCGCAAAGGAGGAGGCAUGCGUCAAGCGCAAUGGCGUGGAGGAGAAGAAGGCCGAGAGGUUUGACAAGUCCAAGGUGGCGCAAGAAAAGAAGAUCAAGCUCCAACAGAAGAAGGUUCAGCUUGACUGGUUCGGAGGACACCAAGAUGUUGACCAUAAAUAUGCUGGAGUUGGAUCCCGAUGCAGCGAAGAUCGUGCAAGCUUACCGUGCUAG
rnacentral:rRNA from 1 species